GGAGGGGGCAAAGGGAAAAGGGGGGGACUUGAUGGCCUGGCUGGCUUUCUGCAGUGGCCCCCUCUCCCAGCGUCCCCACCCCACCCCCUCGCCCUCCAAGUGUGACGCAGGACGAGUUGGCCUGGAAGGAGGCUGGGGAGAACAGCCGGCUGGUCUGCAAAACGCCAAACUGGGGAGCUUCACGCAGAGCAGACCAUCUCACAUCUCGGCUGGGGCAGUGUUUCUCAACCUUGGCAUCUUUAAGAAGCGUGGACUUCAACUCCCAGAAUUCCCCUUGUAACAUUUGCAAGUCCUCCAUGAAAUUAACCACCAUGGGCACAUCAAGAACACCAAUAAUGCUGAAAAGACAAGGAGUAAAAAGGAAAUUGGCUUCUCCUGGGAGAGAACUCUGCACAUGUUCUACUGUUCACCACUUAUCUGGAAGUUGUGAAAUAAAACUGAUUCCCUUCUGAUUUAA